rnacentral:rRNA from 1 species
GGAUGAGUAUUGGACAAUGGAGGCAACUCUGAUCCAGCCAUGCCGCGUGAAGGUGACUAGCCCUAUGGUGUAAACUUCUUUUAUACAGGAAGAAACGGUUUCACGUGUGAGACUUUGACGGGUACUGUAUGAAUAAGCACCGGCUAACUCCGUGCCAGCAGCCGCGGUAAUACGGAGGGUGCAAGCGUUAUCCGGAAUCAUUGGGUUUAAAGGGUCCGUAGGCGGACUAAUAAGUCAGAGGUGAAAUCCCGCAGCUCAACUGUGGAACUGCCUUUGAAACUGUUAGUCUUGAGUUAUUGUGAAGUGGUUAGAAUAUGUAGUGUAGCGGUGAAAUGCUUUAGAGAUUUACAUUGGAAUUACCGAUUGCGAAUGCAGAUCACUAACAAUAUACUGACGCUGAUGGACGAAAGCGUGGGGAGCGAACA